GAUGAACGCUGGCGGCGUGCCUAAUACAUGCAAGUAGAACGCUGAAGGAAGGAGCUUGCUCUUUCCGGAUGAGUUGCGAACGGGUGAGUAACGCGUAGGUAACCUGCCUGGUAGCGGGGGAUAACUAUUGGAAACGAUAGCUAAUACCGCAUAACAGUAGAUGUUGCAUGAUAUCUACUUAAAAGGUGCAAUUGCACCACUACCAGAUGGACCUGCGUUGUAUUAGCUAGUUGGUGAGGUAACGGCUCACCAAGGCGACGAUACAUAGCCGACCUGAGAGGGUGAUCGGCCACACUGGGACUGAGACACGGCCCAGACUCCUACGGGAGGCAGCAGUAGGGAAUCUUCGGCAAUGGACGGAAGUCUGACCGAGCAACGCCGCGUGAGUGAAGAAGGUUGUCGGAUCGUAAAGCUCUGUUGUAAGAGAAGAACGAGUGUGAGAGUGGAAAGUUCACACUGUGACGGUAGCUUACCAGAAAGGGACGGCUAACUACGUG
rnacentral:rRNA from 1 species